GAAAGGAAAUAUUCGGUAAAAGAUGGGCCCGCAUCUGAUUAGCUAGUUGGUGAGAUAAUAGCCCACCAAGGCAACGAUCAGUAGCCGACCUGAGAGGGUGACCGGCCACAUUGGGACUGAGACACGGCCCAAACUCCUACGGGAGGCAGCAGUGGGGAAUAUUGCACAAUGGGCGAAAGCCUGAUGCAGCAACGCCGCGUGAAGGAAGACGGUUUUCGGAUUGUAAACUUCUAUCAAUAGGGAAGAAAGAAAUGACGGUACCUAAAUAAGAAGCCCCGGCUAACUACGUGCCAGCAGCCGCGGUAAUACGUAGGGGGCAAGCGUUAUCCGGAAUUACUGGGUGUAAAGGGAGAGUAGGCGGCAAGGUAAGCGAUAUGUGAAAGCCUUAAGCUUAACUUAAGGAUUGCAUAACGAACUAUCUAGCUAGAGUACAGGAGAGGAAAGCGGAAUUCCUAGUGUAGCGGUGAAAUGCGUAGAUAUUAGGAAGAACACCAGUGGCGAAGGCGGCUUUCUGGACUGAAACUGACGCUGAGGCUCGAAAGCGUGGGGAGCGAACAGGAUUAGAUACCCUGGUAGUCCACGCUGUAAACGAUGAGUGCUAGGUGUCGGGGAGGAAUUCCCG
rnacentral:rRNA from 1 species